rnacentral:rRNA from 1 species
UACGUAGGGACCAAGCGUUGUUCGGAUUUACUGGGCGUAAAGGGCGCGUAGGCGGCAUGACAAGUCACUUGUGAAAUCUCCGGGCUUUAACUCGGAACGGUCAAGUGAUACUGUCGCGCUAGAGUGCGGAAGGGGCAAUCAGAAUUCUUGGUGUAGCGGUGAAAUGCGUAGAUAUCAAGAGGAAUACCUGAGGUGAAGACGGGUUGCUAGGCCGACACUGACGCUGAAGCGACGAAAGCCAGGGGAGCAAACGGG